rnacentral:rRNA from 1 species
AUUGAACGCUGGCGGCAGGCCUAACACAUGCAAGUCGAGCGGAUGAAGGGAGCUUGCUCCUGGAUUCAGCGGCGGACGGGUGAGUAAUGCCUAGGAAUCUGCCUGGUAGUGGGGGAUAACGUCCGGAAACGGGCGCUAAUACCGCAUACGUCCUGAGGGAGAAAGUGGGGGAUCUUCGGACCUCACGCUAUCAGAUGAGCCUAGGUCGGAUUAGCUAGUUGGUGGGGUAAAGGCCUACCAAGGCGACGAUCCGUAACUGGUCUGAGAGGAUGAUCAGUCACACUGGAACUGAGACACGGUCCAGACUCCUACGGGAGGCAGCAGUAGGGAAUAUUCGGCAAUGGGCGAAAGCCUGAUCCAGCCAUGCCGCGUGAGUGAAGAAGGUCUUCGGAUUGUAAAGCUCUUUUAGUUGGGAAGAAGAGCAGUAAGUUAAUCCCUUCCUGUUUUGACGUUACCAACAGAGUAAGCCCCGGCUAACUUCGUG